rnacentral:rRNA from 1 species
GUGAGGAAUAUUGGUCAAUGGGCGAGAGCCUGAACCAGCCAAGUAGCGUGAAGGAUGACUGCCCUAUGGGUUGUAAACUUCUUUUAUAAAGGAAUAAAGUCGGGUAUGCAUACCCGUUUGCAUGUACUUUAUGAAUAAGGAUCGGCUAACUCCGUGCCAGCAGCCGCGGUAAUACGGAGGAUCCGAGCGUUAUCCGGAUUUAUUGGGUUUAAAGGGAGCGUAGAUGGAUGUUUAAGUCAGUUGUGAAAGUUUGCGGCUCAACCGUAAAAUUGCAGUUGAUACUGGAUAUCUUGAGUGCAGUUGAGGCAGGCGGAAUUCGUGGUGUAGCGGUGAAAUGCUUAGAUAUCACGAAGAACUCCGAUUGCGAAGGCAGCCUGCUAAGCUGCAACUGACAUUGAGGCUCGAAAGUGUGGGUAUCAAACAGGAUUAGAUACCCCGGUAGUCC